rnacentral:rRNA from 1 species
GUUCGAUUCCGGAGAGGGAGCCUGAGAAACGGCUACCACAUCCAAGGAAGGCAGCAGGCGCGCAAAUUACCCAAUCCCGACACGGGGAGGUAGUGACAAUAAAUAACAAUACGGGGCUCUUUCGGGUCUCGUAAUUGGAAUGAGUACAAUUUAAAUCCCUUAACGAGGAACAAUUGGAGGGCAAGUCUGGUGCCAGCAGCCGCGGUAAUUCCAGCUCCAAUAGCGUAUAUUAAAGUUGUUGCAGUUAAAAAGCUCGUAGUUGAAUUUCGGGAUUGACACAUCGGUCGUGCCUUAAGGGGUAUGAACUGGUGUAGUCAAUUUCUCACCUUCUGGAGAACCGCGAUGCCCUUAAUUGGGUGUCACGGGGAACCAGGACCUUUACUUUGAAAAAAUUAGAGUGCUUAAAGCAGGCAUUUUGCUUGAAUACAUUAGCAUGGAAUAAUAAAAUAGGACGGCAUGAUUCUAUUUUGUUGGUUUCUAGGAUCACCGUAAUGAUUAAUAGGGAUAGUUGGGGGCAUUAGUAUUCAAUUGUCAGAGGUGAAAUUCUUGGAUUUAUUGAAGACUAACUACUGCGAAAGCAUUUGCCAAGGAUGUUUUCAUUAAUCAAGAACGAAAGUUAGGGGAUCGAAGACGAUCAGAUACCGUCGUAGUCUUAACCAUAAACUAUGCCGACUAGGAAUCAGACGAUGUUAAUUUUUUAAUGACUCGUUUGGCACCUUACG